CCUACGGGAGGCAGCAGUGGGGAAUAUUGGACAAUGGGGGAAACCCUGAUCCAGCAAUGCCGCGUGAGUGAUGAAGGCCUUAGGGUUGUAAAGCUCUUUCGACGGGGAGGCGGUACCCGUAGAAGAAGCCCCGGCUAACUUCGUGCCAGCAGCCGCGGUAAGACGAAGGGGGCUAGCGUUGUUCGGAAUUACUGGGCGUAAAGCGCGCGUAGGCGGUUUUCCAAGUCAGGCGUGAAAGCCCCGGGCUCAACCCGGGAACUGCGCUUGAUACUGUGAGACUUGAGACCGGGAGAGGAUAGUGGAAUUCCCAGUGUAGAGGUGAAAUUCGUAGAUAUUGGGAAGAACACCAGUGGCGAAGGCGGCUAUCUGGACCGGACUGACGCUGAGGCGCGAAAGCGUGGGGAGCAAACAGGAUUAGAUACCCUUGUAGUC
rnacentral:rRNA from 1 species